rnacentral:rRNA from 1 species
AUCGAACGCUGGCGGCAUGCCUAACACAUGCAAGUCGAACGAGUGGCGGACGGGUGAGUAAUGGCUGGGAAACUGCCCGUUGGAGGGGGAAAACUAGUGGAAACCGUAGCUAAUACCGCCUACCAUCAGUUGUGCCCAGCCGGGAUUAGGUAGCUGGUGGGGUAACGGCUCACCAAGGCGACGAUUCGUAGCUGGUCUGAGAGGAUGACCAGCCACACUGGGACUGAGACACGGUCCAGACUCCUACGGGAGGCAGCAGUGGGGAAUAUUGCGCAAUGGACGCAAGCCUGAUGCAGCAAUGCCGCGUGAGUGAAGAAGGCCUUCGGGUUGUAAAGUUCUGUUAGCAGGGAAGCGGGACCCGCAAAAGAAGCACCGGCUAACUCCGUGCCAGCAGCCGCGGUAAUUC